rnacentral:rRNA from 1 species
GUGGGGAAUUUUGGACAAUGGGGGAAACCCUGAUCCAACCAUUCCGCGUGUGUGAUGAAGGCCUUCGGGUUGUAAAGCACUUUUGGCAGGAAAGAAACAGUGCGUGCUAAUACCAUGCGCGAAUGACGGUACCUGCAGAAUAAGCACCGGCUAACUACGUGCCAGCAGCCGCGGUAAUACGUAGGGUGCAAGCGUUAAUCGGAAUUACUGGGCGUAAAGCGUGCGCAGGCGGCUUUGUAAGACGGAUGUGAAAGCCCCGGGCUCAACCUGGGAAGUGCAUUCGUGACUGCAAGGCUAGAGUGUGUCAGAGGGAGGUGGAAUUCCGCGUGUAGCAGUGAAAUGCGUAGAGAUGCGGAGGAACACCGAUGGCGAAGGCAGCCUCCUGGGAUAACACUGACGCUCAGGCACGAAAGCGUGGGGAGCAAACAGGAUUAGAAACCCUGGUAGUCC